rnacentral:rRNA from 1 species
CAGUCGCCACGGGAAUACGGAGGGUGCAAGCGUUAAUCGGAAUUACUGGGCGUAAAGCGCACGCAGGCGGUCUGACAAGUCAGAUGUGAAAUCCCCGGGCUUAACCUGGGAACUGCAUUUGAAACUGUCAGGCUGGAGUCUUGUAGAGGGGGGUGGAAUUCCAGGUGUAGCGGUGAAAUGCGUAGAGAUCUGGAGGAAUACCGGUGGCGAAGGCGGCCCCCUGGACAAAGACUGACGCUCAGGUGCGAAAGCGUGGGGAGCAAACAGGAUUAGAUACCCGCGUAGUCCCUGUCUCUUAUAU